rnacentral:tRNA from 1 species
GUCUGGGUAGCUCAACUGGUAGAGCACGAAACUGAAGAUUUUGGGGAGGGUGUUCAAGUCACCCCUUAGACA